UCCAGGGUAGUCUAGUGGACAUGGCAUCUGCCCAGUAAGCGGAACACUGUGGGUUCGAUUCCCAUCCCUGGAC